rnacentral:lncRNA from 1 species
GUAAGUACCUAGGAGUGGGAGUACUGGGUUGAAGGGUAAGUGUAUGGCAACUUUAGAAGAAACCACCAAAAUGCUUCCAAAUUGGUUGUACCAUUUUGCCCUCUUGUCUGCAACGGAUGAGAAUUUCAGCAGCUCUGCAACCUUGGUGCUUGCCGAUGUCAGCCUUCUUUGGCCACUCGAGUGGACGGACAAUGGUGUGGCCGUGUCUCACUGUGGCUUUGUGUUUCCCUCAUGAAGAUGAUGGUCGAGCAUCCUUCUUGUACUUAUUUGCCAUCUGUGUAUCUCCUUCUGGGAAGCUUCUGUUGUUUGCAGUUUUAUUACACGGUUGAAUGAGUUCUUUACCUGUUCUGGAUAGAAGUCCUUUAUCAGAUAUGUGUUUUCAUAACCUCUCAGUCUGGGGCUUGCCUUUCGUUUUCUUAAUGGAGUCUCCCAGAAAAUUAAUUUUCUUCAGGUUUGAGGUGCAAUUUACACAGCACCCUCUUUAGGUGUAGAGGUCUCUGAAUUCUACCACCCAAUCAAGACAUGGAAUAUCGCCAUCUCUGUCCCCACAUUCCCCCACGCUCUCUUCUCCUCUGGCAGGUCUGGUUCUGCAGCUCUUUAGCAAGCUCUGGGUGCUUUUAUGUUGCGAAUUCUCUUUACCGUGUGGGAUGCGAAACGCAUCUGGGUCAUCUUUGCACCGUGACUCAUAAAUUCCAGGGUAACAGGAAAAGGCCCAUUAAACAUCCCGUUACACACAGCUCUAAUAAAACCGGUAAUAAUAACACCAAAACGCUCAUCUAGCGCUUGCCAGGGACCACUCUCAUUCUCCACUUACGCUAACUCAUGUGACCUCACGUGCAGCCCGCCCCGGGAGGCACGAUCACGAUCACUGCCCGCCUUCCGGCUGCGGCACUGAGGCCCAGAAGAGGUGGACCGCCUCCGCCCUCGGGGCCGCCUGCCGCGGAGGACAGGCCGGGGAGACGCGGCCCGCAGAGCCGUGCGCUCGGCCGCCACUCAAGACGAACAGGGUCCGCCCGUGGCCGGGAGGGAGGCGCGGGCCCACGACCCGGAGCCCCGGCGCCCGCUCACCCCCGGCCGGUCCGGGGCACCCAGCGUGGGCGCUCGGGAGGCCGGCGCGCAGGCCGGCAGAGGGAGCCGGGCCCACGCGCCCCACCCGGGCCGCGCCGCCGCCCCAGGGACCGAGGCGCGUGCCAGGGCGGGCUGCGCAUGCGCGUGCGCACGGCGGGCGCGGCGCGGCGUGUGCACGCGAGCCGGGGGCGGGCGGCGGCCGGGGGCGCAUGCGCACCGGGGCGCCGAGGCUGGAGGCGUGCCCGGCUCAGGAGAGCGGUGCGGUCGGCCCAGUCUGCUUCUCGCUGGCGGGCGCCGUAAGCAUCAGCGUCCCCGCAAGUUCCCACUUCGGCUGCGGGAAGCAGAGUGUGUGCAGGGAACGGAACGCUCGGCUCCGCGGCGGGGAGUUGCAGAUAGAAGGAGCUCGGUCCGCAGGAGCGCGGUGGCGGCGAGAGGAGCUGGCUCUCGGAGUUUAAUGGUGUGGAUGCAAACUACCAGGAGUCUCAUGGGAGGAACCCAGGCCCAUGGGGCUUUGCCAGGAGCCUGCCUUCUCUCAAUAUCCACACCCUCAUGAGCUCGGUGUGACCAUCCCGUUUUUACUGAUGGUGGGAUUGAGUGAGGCGGAGCGAGGUUAGAGCGACUCGCGGCCCUGGGAAGGCCGAAGCCCCCUGACCGAGUGUGUCGCUUGCUGGUCCUGGCCUUGGAGACUCAGGCGUGCUGAAUUUAUCUUCGGAAGUUUUCCAAGUGGGUCCUGCCGCAGUGUGUUAGAUUGGGUGUUGCCAUCCUCCUUCACCCUCUUAUGUCAGACUUCUGGAGAGAGCCACCAGCAAGGACUGCUCUGGCAGCAGCAUUGAAACAAGUCCCUCUGGGAUGGACUCCGUGCGGCUGGUCAAGCACAGGUGCCUGGCUGAACUAUCCUGGUGUGGGACAUACAAGGUCAAGUCAAUGGGAUGGGGUUACUACUGCACAUACCCUGCUGCCCUCGGUGACCGGAACCUGGACAAAAUAUAUGUAUCAACUAUUUCCAAACGUUGAACAAUAGGCAGCACAGAGCUGUGAUGCCUGAGAAAAAGGGAACAGGAAAGGUAAGUGCUGUAGUGGCCCCGAUUUCUGCCUGGAGGUGCUUCGUGAACUGCAGUGUGGGGAACAAGGACCCGAGCAGCGUCUGGUGGCUCCACUGCAUUGAAGAGUGGAGAUGGGAGUGCAGGGACUCUGCUUGGAUUUGUGGGCCAGAGAGCCUGGAGAGACGGGAACUCUGCAGAGGAGGAGCUGCGGGAAUCCUCAGGGGGUGCCCGCGGUGUUUGUGGGUUACUGCGCUGUGCAUGCACAUGUGAGAUGCCAGGAGAAGGGCCGAGGACAACUGCCAAGGAGCCGCAAGGGGGCCGGUGCCAAGGGCUCAGCAGCAGUGGACAGUUCUUGCUGACCCCGGGCAGGCUGUAGAGACCCCCAAGGGGUCCUACCUUGGUAGUGGGGUAAAUAAACCCAGAGUGAGAGUAGCUUAGACCCUCCCCUCAAAAGCUUAAAAACAAGCCUUGAAAGGAUCCAGCUAAACUGCAAUCGAUGUAAAUGCUGGCCUGUACAGACUUGGAGGAAAGGAAAACUCUAGGCCAGGGUCCUUCUUGAAUGUGGGUGUGAGAAUUCUCACCAGAUGUCAUUGACUCUGAUUCAGCCGCGUCUAAAAAGGGUCAUACAUCAUGGUCAGUAGAGUUUAUCCCAGCAGUGAAAGGUUGGUUCUAACUUUGAAAGUCAGUCAACGUAAUUUUUCAUGUCAACAGACUGAAGAAGGAAAAUGUUAUAAUCAUCUCAAUAGAUGCAGAAACGGCAUUUAACGAAAGUCAGCGUCCAUCUGUGAUUAAACAGACAACUCAGCAAGCCAGGAUCUAAAGAGAUUUUCCCGACCCUGGUAGAGGCGUCUGCAAAGCCCCUUCAGUGGCCUCAUGCAUAAUAGAGAGAGAGGGGAUGCUUUUCCUCUGCGAUCGGGAACCAGGCGAGGGUGUCCAACCUCACCACUUCUAUUCACCAUCAUCCUGGAGGCUCUAGCAAGUGCAGAAGGCAAGAAAAAGAGAGAAAUGAAAGGCAAACAGAUUAGAGAGAGAGAGAAACCAUCUUUAUUUGCAGAUGAUGUGAUUUUCUACGUAGAAAAUCCAGUGGCAUCUACACAAAAGCUAGGACUGCAGGUGAAUUUAGUUGUAUACUAGUAAAGAACCAUUAGAAACUGAAAUUAAAAACAUUUCCAUUUACAAUAGAACCAAAAAUCAUGAAAUACUUAGGCACAAAUCCUACAAAAUACACACAAGAACUGUUUGCUGAAAACUAUGAAACACAGAUGAAAGAAAUCAAAGAAUUCCUACAUAAAUGGAGACAUGUAUUGUUUCGUGGAUUGGAAUAGUCAAAACUGCUAAGAGACAAGAAAAACAGGCACGAAGAAGCUACAUCGAAGGAUCCCGACCAGGAGAAGCGUCAGAGCAGAGGUUCUGCCACAUUUGGUGAUACCUGUGCGAGCUGGGAGCCCAAGGCUGCGACAUGGUCCUGGGGUCCUGCUGCACCUGCCGCGAGUGUGAACAGAUGGAUGGCAGGAUGGGAGGCAGAGGACGCGGCUGUGGGCUGGCUGCCCAGAGGUUAUGUUUUCACCCUGUUGAAUACGUCCUUUGAUGAACAAAAGCUUUCGGUUUGCAGUAGUCACCUGUGGUUUGGCUUCUGUUAAACAUCUGCCUGUGGGGCCACAGCUCUGUGGGAGGUGCUCUUAUUUCUGGUGGCACGUGGCUGCCCCGGGACCCUCUCUGAUCACACGUGAUC